rnacentral:rRNA from 1 species
GGACGAACGCUGGCGGCGUGCUUAACACAUGCAAGUCGAACGGUGAAGGGAAGCUUGCUUCCCGGAUCAGUGGCGAACGGGUGAGUAACACGUGGGCAAUCUGCCCCAGACUUUGGGAUAACUACUCGAAAGAGUAGCUAAUACCGAAUAUUCAGCCUUGCAGGCAUCUGCGAGGCUGGAAAGUUUCUCGGUCUGGGAUGAGCCCGCGGCCUAUCAGCUAGUUGGUAAGGUAAUGGCUCACCAAGGCGACGACGGGUAGCCGGCCUGAGAGGGCGACCGGCCACACUGGGACUGAGACACGGCCCAGACUCCUACGGGAGGCAGCAGUGGGGAAUAUUGCGCAAUGGGCGAAAGCCUGACGCAGCAACGCCGCGUGCGGGAUGAAGGCCUUCGGGUUGUAAACCGCUUUCAGCAGGGAAGAAGCGAAAGUGACGGUACCUGCAGAAGAAGCACCGGCUAACUACGUG